UAAGACGGAGGGUGCUAGCGUUGUUCGGAAUCACUGGGCGUAAAGGGCGCGUAGGCGGCUUCAGGUGUCGGCUGUGAAAGCCCGGGGCUCAACCCCGGAGGUGCAGCCGAAACUCUGGGGCUCGAGGCCGGAAGAGGAGGGUGGAAUACCCAGUGUAGAGGUGAAAUUCGUAGAUAUUGGGUGGAACACCGGUGGCGAAAGCGGCUCUCUGGUCCGGUCCUGACGCUGAGGCGCGAAAGCGUGGGGAGCAAACAGGA
rnacentral:rRNA from 1 species